rnacentral:rRNA from 1 species
GUCGAACGAUGAUGCCCAGCUUGCUGGGCGGAUUAGUGGCGAACGGGUGAGUAAUACGUGAGUAACCUGCCCUUGACUCUGGGAUAAGCCUGGGAAACUGGGUCUAAUACUGGAUACUACCUCUUACCGCAUGGUGGGUGGUGGAAAGGGUUUUACUGGUUUUGGAUGGGCUCACGGCCUAUCAGCUUGUUGGUGGGGUAAUGGCUCACCAAGGCGACGACGGGUAGCCGGCCUGAGAGGGUGACCGGCCACACUGGGACUGAGACACGGCCCAGACUCCUACGGGAGGCAGCAGUGGGGAAUAUUGCACAAUGGGCGGAAGCCUGAUGCAGCGACGCCGCGUGAGGGAUGACGGCCUUCGGGUUGUAAACCUCUUUCAGUAGGGAAGAAGCGAGAGUGACGGUACCUGCAGAAGAAGCGCCGGCUAACUACGUGCCAGCAGCCGCGGUAAUACGUAGGGCGCAAGCGUUGUCCGGAAUUAUUGGGCGUAAAGAGCUCGUAGGCGGUUUGUCGCGUCUGCUGUGAAAGCCCGGGGCUCAACCCCGGGUCUGCAGUGGGUACGGGCAGACUAGAGUGCAGUAGGGGAGACUGGAAUUCCUGGUGUAGCGGUGAAAUGCGCAGAUAUCAGGAGGAACACCGAUGGCGAAGGCAGGUCUCUGGGCUGUUACUGACGCUGAGGAGCGAAAGCAUGGGGAGCGAACAGGAUUAGAUACCCUGGUAGUCCAUGCCGUAAACGUUGGGCACUAGGUGUGGGGGACAUUCCACGUUUUCCGCGCCGUAGCUAACGCAUUAAGUGCCCCGCCUGGGGAGUACGGCCGCAAGGCUAAAACUCAAAGGAAUUGACGGGGGCCCGCACAAGCGGCGGAGCAUGCGGAUUAAUUCGAUGCAACGCGAAGAACCUUACCAAGGCUUGACAUUCACCGGACCGCCCCAGAGAUGGGGUUUCCCUUCGGGGCUGGUGGACAGGUGGUGCAUGGUUGUCGUCAGCUCGUGUCGUGAGAUGUUGGGUUAAGUCCCGCAACGAGCGCAACCCUCGUUCUAUGUUGCCAGCACGUGAUGGUGGGGACUCAUAGGAGACUGCCGGGGUCAACUCGGAGGAAGGUGGGGAUGACGUCAAAUCAUCAUGCCCCUUAUGUCUUGGGCUUCACGCAUGCUACAAUGGCCGGUACAAAGGGUUGCGAUACUGUGAGGUGGAGCUAAUCCCAAAAAGCCGGUCUCAGUUCGGAUUGAGGUCUGCAACUCGACCUCAUGAAGUCGGAGUCGCUAGUAAUCGCAGAUCAGCAACGCUGCGGUGAAUACGUUCCCGGGCCUUGUACACACCGCCCGUCAAGUCACGAAAGUUGGUAACACCCGAAGCCGGUGGCCUAACCCCUUGUGGGAGGGAGCCGUCGA